rnacentral:rRNA from 1 species
AGCGGGUGGAUCGCCUGCUUAUAUGUUGGAUGGAGGGGGAUAACUACGGGAAACGUCCGCUAAUACCGCAUAACGUCGCAAGACCAAAGAGGGGGACCUUCGGGCCUCUUGCCAUCAGAUGUGCCCAGAUGGGAUUAGCUAGUAGGUGGGGUAACGGCUCACCUAGGCGACGAUCCCUAGCUGGUCUGAGAGGAUGACCAGCCACACUGGAACUGAGACACGGUCCAGACUCCUACGGGAGGCAGCAGUGGGGAAUAUUGCACAAUGGGCGCAAGCCUGAUGCAGCCAUGCCGCGUGUAUGAAGAAGGCCUUCGGGUUGUAAAGUACUUUCAGCGGGGAGGAAGGCGUUGUGGUUAAUAACCACAGCGAUUGACGUUAUCCCGGCAGAAGAAGCACCGGCUAACUCCAGUGCCAGCAGUCCGCGGUAAUACGGAGGAUGCAAGCGUUAAUCGGAAUUAACUUGAGGCGUAAAGUCGUCAUCGCAGGCGGUCUGUCCAAGUUCCGAAUGUGAAAUCCCCGGGCUCGAACCUGGGAACUUGCCAUUUCCGAAAACUGGCAAGGCCUAGAGUCUUGUAGAGGGGGGGGGGUAGGAAAUUCCCAUGGUGUAGCGGUGAAAUGCGUAGAGAUUCUGGAGGAAUACCGGUGGCGAAGGCGGCCCCCUGGGACAAAGACUGACGACUCAGGUGCGAAAGCGUGGGGCAGCAAACAGGAUUAGAUACCCUGGGUAGUCCACGCCGUAAACGAUUGUCGACUUGGAAGGUUGUGCCCUUUGAGGCGUGGUCUUCCCGGAAGCUAACGCGUUUAAGUCGACCCGCCUUGGGGGAGUACGGCCGCAAGGUUAAAACUUCAAAUGAACUUGACGGGGGCCCGCACAAGCGGUGGCAGCCAUUGUGGUUUUAAUUUUCGAUGGCAGACGGCGGAAGAAACCUUUGACCUACUUUCUUUGACAUUCCAAUGAGAACCUUUUCCAGAAGAAUGGGAUUUUGCUGACCUUCGGGAACUCUUGAGACAGGUGCUGCAUUGGCAUGUCGUUCAGCUUCGUGUUCGUGAAAUGUAGGGUCUAAGCUUCCCGCUAACCGAGAGGCCUAUACCCUUAUCCUUUGUUGCCAGCGGUUAGGCCGGGAACUCAAAGGAGACUGCCAGUGAUAAACUGGAGGAAGGUGGGGAUGACGUCAAGUCAUCAUGGCCCUUACGAGUAGGGCUACACACGUGCUACAAUGGCGCAUACAAAGAGAAGCGACCUCGCGAGAGCAAGCGGACCUCAUAAAGUGCGUCGUAGUCCGGAUUGGAGUCUGCAACUCGACUCCAUGAAGUCGGAAUCGCUAGUAAUCGUAGAUCAGAAUGCUACGGUGAAUACGUUCCCGGGCCUUGUACACACCGCCCGUCACACCAUCGCAUUAGGUUUCAAAAGAAGUACAGUGCGG